rnacentral:rRNA from 1 species
CCUACGGGUGGCUGCAGUGGGGAAUCUUCCGCAAUGGGCGAAAGCCUGACGGAGCAACGCCGCGUGAACGAAGAAGGCCUUCGGGUCGUAAAGUUCUGUCCUCAGGGAAGAACCCUCAUGGGAGGAAAUGCCCAUGAGCUGACGGUACCUGGGAAGGAAGCCCUGGCUAACUACGUGCCAGCAGCCGCGGUAAUACGUAGAGGGCAAGCGUUGUCCGGAAUGACUGGGCGUAAAGGGUACGCAGGCGGAUAAGUAAGUCAAAUGUGAAAGGCACCGGCUCAACCGGUGAGCUGCAUUUGAAACUGCCUAUCUUGAGUUCAGGAGAGGAGAGCGGAAUUCCUGGUGUAGCGGUGGAAUGCGUAGAUAUCAGGAAGAACACCAGUGGCGAAGGCGGCUCUCUGGCCUGAAACUGACGCUCAUGUACGAAAGCUGGGGGAGCGAACGGGAUUAGAUACCCCAGUAGUC